rnacentral:rRNA from 1 species
UGAGGAAUAUUGGGCAAUGCCCGCAAGGGUGACCCAGCAACGCCGCGUGGAGGAUGAAUGUCGUAAGAUUGUAAACUCCUGUUAGAGGGGAAGAAUAGUACCGGUUGGACCGGUAUAUGACUGUACCCUCAGAGAAAGCCCCGGCUAACUACGUGCCAGCAGCCGCGGUAAUACGUAGGGGGCAAGCGUUGUCCGGAUUUACUGGGUGUAAAGGGCGCGCAGGCGGGAUAAAAAGUCAGUGGCGAAAUCCUACAGCUUAACUGUAGAACUGCCUUUGAUACUUUUAUUCUUGAGUUCGGGAGAGAGAGACGGAAUUCCAGGUGUAGUGGUGAAAUACGUAGAUAUCUGGAAGAACACCAGUUGCGAAGGCGGUCUCUUGGUCCGACACUGACGCUGAGGCGCGAAAGCGUGGGGAGCAAACA